GCAGAGUAGUACAAAAAGCGUUAAGUAUCGCCGAACGGGAUGUUGACGGCGAGCGAAGGUUUUUAACCGCGACUUUUUGACGCAUCCG
rnacentral:ncRNA from 1 species